UGACCUGUAAACAAGCAUUUCCAUUAUUUGGCUUGUACCAGUGGAAUGACAGCUUGUCAUGAGAUAUCUUACAUUACAGUUCUUAUCUGUCAUUGCUUUAGGGAUGGCAGAAGAGAGAGAAAAGUGUGGAUGAGCUUCUACUGUUUCCAUGGCUCUUAUAUUGGCAGCUGUUGGAGAUGAAAGCUAUGCCUGGACAAACCCUCUCUGCACCAUAUCUUUUGCCUUUGGAAAGACUGUGUGUAAGGAAUGUUGAUUCUCCAACUAUCAAGUGGCCAGCCAGAUCUCUGCACACACUGCAUCCUUCAAUCCUUUAUUAUCAAGGAAGCCCACAGCUGGUAGUACA